UGGACCGUGAUGAUCUGGGCUUACGCGCAGCAGGGUUUCAUUCGAGCGGCCUUCGAUCUCUACAAGAGAAUGGACUGCGAGCCAAACGCUGUAACUUUCAUGGCCGUGAUGGAUUCCUGUUUGCGUCCAGAGGACUUACCGCGAGCGGAGCAAAUCCACGCACACAUGGUUGCCUCCGGCUUUGAUUCCGAUGCUGUCUUGCAAGUUUGUCUCGUCACCAUGUAUGGGAAGUGUGGGAGCGUCGACAGCGCUUGGAGCAUCUUCGAAAACUUGAAGGAGAGAAGCGUGGUUGCAUGGAACUCCAUGCUAUCUGCGUUCGCCAGCAACGGGUGUUACGAGAGGAGCUUGAAACUCUACGAAAGAAUGCUGCUAGAGGGGAAAACACCCGACAAGAUCACUUACUUGGCUGUGCUUGAUGCCUGCCAGAGCGUUUCCGAGGCCCGGAGGUACGCCGCUACCUUCGAGCUGGAGCUAGAUAUUGCUGCAAAAAAUGCCGCGGUCAGUGCGUACGCGAGGUGUGGAAGCUUGAAAGAAGCCAAGGCUGCGUUUGAUGCAAUACAAUGGAAGAACAAUGCUGUGACAUGGAACGCCAUGAUCUCCGGCCUUGCACAGCACGGCGAGAGCAAGCAAGCUCUCGAGUGCUUUUGGAAAAUGGAACUGGAAGGAGUGAGACCAAACUCGGUCACUUACCUCGCAAGUCUAGAGGCAUGCUCGAGCUUGAACGAUUUGACGAGAGGGAGACAACUCCACGCCAGGAUCCUCCUGGAAAACAUACACGAGGCAAACCUCAGCAAUGCCGUGAUCAACAUGUAUGGCAAGUGUGGAAGUCUAGACGAAGCAAUGGACGAGUUUGCAAAAAUGCCCGAGAGAGAUGUGGUCUCCUGGAACACAAUGAUAGCAACAUACGCUCAACACGGCAGUGGAAGACAAGCACUAGAGUUUUUCAAGCAAAUGGACCUGGAAGGAUGGACUACGGACAGAGCAACGUACCUGGGAGCGAUCGACGCGUGCGGCAGCGUUCCAUCUCUAGCUCUCGGAAAAACCAUCCACUCCAUCGUCGCCACUGCUGCUCCAUGCCUGGAACAAGAUCCGGGAGUCGCCACAGCGCUCGUCACCAUGUAUGCUCGGUGUGGAAGCCUGCACGACGCAAAGUCAGUGUUCUGGAGAUCUCACUCGCGGAACCUCGUUACCUGGUCGAACUUGAUCGCUGCGUGUGCUCAGCACGGCCGAGAGAACGAGGCCCUGGAUCUCUUCCGCGAGAUGCAGCUCCAGGGAACCAAGCC
rnacentral:lncRNA from 1 species